UCCCUGGAGGUCCAGUGUUAGGACUCUGCACUUCCAUUGCAGGGGGUCUGGGUUCAAGCCUUGGUCAGGAAA
rnacentral:tRNA from 1 species